AAAUCCUAGAACAAACUAGGUUUUGUUUUUCUCCUGUAAACAGGAUGUUCCAGCAUAAGAAGAUACCUUCUACUCAAGUCCUUGUUCCACCUUUUCAAAUCUCACUGGUCUAUUUCCCAGUGGGUUUCUAAACCAAACACCCAUAAACUCAGAAAAUACAGUGUAAAACAAAGUGAAGAACAAGUAAACAACUCACCAGAUAUUUAUUCGUUUCUUGUUGCUCUUGGAAACACCCAGAGGACACUGGAAACAUAGCUGGGAUAGAAGGCAAAUGACGUGGAUUAAGGAGAGAACUGGUGUGGUGUGGUCCCAGAUUCUUCUGCCCAAUGCUCUAGACACAUUACCUGGGAAAGCCCUCCUCCCUCCUGAAAAAGAAAAACUUCCCCGUGGGAGAAGAGUCCUUCACGCCUCAUUAGGGGCAGCAGAGGCUCAAGUUAAGAUAAGAUACAUAGACAAGUACAUUAAUUGGUAGACAUUAGAUGCACAAUUUAUUUUUGAAUAAAAAUAUGUAUUACCUACUAAUUUAGUAACAAUAUUAUCUAAAGAUAUAAUCUAAUAAUUUAAUACAAAGAAACAUUAUAAGUUCACUAAAAUAAAUGUUAUAGAAAUA